GCUCCCUUGUCUCCACCCUCUCCUCUUCUUCUGACCCUCCCCCAGGUCGGAAACCCGUGUCCAUCGUGUCCCCGGAGCCAGGGACCACCCGUGACGUGCUGGAGACCCCGGUCGACCUGGCCGGAUUUCCUGUGCUGUUGAGCGACACGGCUGGGUUGCGGGAGGGCGUGGGGCCCGUGGAGCAGGAGGGCGUGCGGCGCGCCCAGGAGAGGCUGGAGCAGGCUGACCUCAUUCUGGCCAUGCUGGACGCCUCUGACCUGGCCUCUCCCUCCAGUUGCAACUUCCUGGCCACCGUCGUAGCCUCUGUGGGAACCCAGAGCCCCAGUGACAGCAGCCAGCGCCUCCUCCUGGUACUGAACAAGUCGGACCUGCUGUCCCCGGAGGGCCCAGGUCCCGGUCCUGACCUGCCCCCGCACCUGCUGCUGUCCUGUCUGACGGGAGAGGGGCUGGACGGCCUCCUGGAGGCGCUGAGGAAGGAGCUAGCUGCCGUGUGUGGGGACCCGUCCACAGAUCCCCCGCUGCUGACCCGAGCAAGGCACCAGCACCACCUCCAGGGUUGCCUGAAUGCCCUCGGCCACUACAAGCAGUCAAAAGACCUGGCCCUGGCGGCAGAGGCGCUGCGGGUGGCCCGGGGUCACCUGACC
rnacentral:sRNA from 1 species